rnacentral:ncRNA from 1 species
AGAUGUGAAAUGCCCGGGCUCAACCUGGGAACUGCAUUUGUGACUGCAUGGCUAGAGUGUGUCAGAGGGGGGUAGAAUUCCACGUGUAGCAGUGAAAUGCGUAGAGAUGUGGAGGAAUACCGAUGGCGAAGGCAGCCCCCUGGGAUAACACUGACGCUCAUGCACGAAAGCGUGGGGAGCAAACAGGAUUAGAUACCCUGGUAGUCCACGCCCUAAACGAUGUCUACUAGUUGUCGGGUCUUAAUUGACUUGGUAACGCAGCUAACGCGGAAGUAGAC